rnacentral:tRNA from 1 species
GCGCCGGUGGUGUAAGGCGAACAUCGCUGCCCGGAAAGCAGAAGAUGAGAGUCCGAGUCCCGCCUGGCGCA